AAUUUUGGACAAUGGGCGCAAGCCUGAUCCAGCCAUGCCGCGUGAGUGAAGAAGGCCUUCGGGUUGUAAAGCUCUUUCGGACGGAAAGAAAUCGCGCAGGCCAAUCACCUGCGCGGAUGACGGUAACGGCAUAAGAAGCACCGGCUAACUACGUGCCAGCCGCCGCGGUCAGACGUAGGGUGCGAGCGUUAAUCGGAAUUACUGGGCGUAAAGCGUGCGCAGGCGGUUGAUUAAGACAGGCAUGAAGUCCCCGGGCUUAACCUGGUAACUGCGCUUGUGACUGGUCAGCUAGAGUACGGCAGAGGGGAGUGGAAUUCCACAUGUAGCAGUGAAAUGCGUAGAGAUGUGGAGGAACACCGAUGGCGAAGGCAGCCCCCUGGGCCGAUACUGACGCUCAUGCACGAAAGCGUGGGUAGCAAACAGG
rnacentral:rRNA from 1 species